rnacentral:tRNA from 1 species
GGCGGGGUAGCCGAGUGGUCAGGCGAGGGCCUGCAAAGCCCUAUACGCGGGUUCGAAUCCCGCCCCCGCCUCCA